ACCCUGCGGAUCCCUUGUCCCUCCGAUCGAAAUGUUGGUCUGCGUGGCUGAAAAAGAAGGAAAAGUAAAAUUGAAGUAGACUUGGAGCCUUUCAUAACUUACAAGUUCAUUUCAAACAUAG
rnacentral:snoRNA from 1 species